UACGUAGGGCGCAAGCGUUGUCCGGAAUUAUUGGGCGUAAAGAGCUCGUAGGCGGUUUGUCGCGUCUGUCGUGAAAGCUUGGGGCUUAACCCCAAGUCUGCGGUGGAUACGGGCAGACUUGAGGCAGGUAGGGGAGAACGGAAUUCCCGGUGUAGCGGUGAAAUGCGCAGAUAUCGGGAGGAACACCGGUGGCGAAGGCGGGUCUCUGGGCCGAUACUGACGCUGAGGAGCGAAAGCGUGGGGAGCGAACAGG
rnacentral:rRNA from 1 species